AACGGCCGGCGAGAUCCGACGCGCGCGCGGCGAGAUCCAUCUCUCUCUCACACGAGAGGGAAAAUCCCCAUGACUCCUCCUCCUCCUCUCUGGAUCGAUCCCCUCCAACCCACAUCUUCCCCCUCUCUGGAUCGAUCCCCUCCAACCCAGCCACCGCAGACCUCCCCCAACCCCGACCUCCUCCACCGCCGGCGACCCCUUCUCUUCCUCCCCCAACCCAGCCACCUCCAGUAGCAGAUCCAUGCAGGACAGAUCUGAGCUCCCCUGCCUCCGUUGCUCCCUUUCCCCCGACCAGAUCUUCCUCUUGCGUUCUGGCACCUCGCCAGCGUGGCUCCGGCGUUGCUCUGGCGACUCAGGUGAGUCCCUCCAUUUGUCCUCGUCGCAUAUCUCCCUCCCUCUCUUCCUCACCUCAUCUUGUCUCCCUUGCAGAUCCAGCACAACGUCGUUGCUCGAGCACCGGGACGCCAUCGACGGGAAGUCUUCCUCCUCACCUCAUCUUGUCUCCCUCACAUGAACGAUGCAGCUUCACCGCUACCCUGACGCCAUCAAGGAGCAGCUACACGCCUGCAAGGCUGCAACAUCACCAACUCGACUUGGAUGCAGGGAGAGGAGACGCCCAACCAUGGGCAAGCUCUACGUCGGCAUCUGCCUUUGUAGCUUGGCCUAGGGUUAGCUGAAUGCUCAAGACAUGGGUAGUUCUGGGAGAUGGUGAUUAGGGACUGUUUUACAACACAUCAUCCUCUGUUUUUACACAUAGUUGUAGAAGAAAAUACUUUUACUUAUUGCAAGUCGCGACUGUCAUGCGUAUGUUAUGAAUUCAGAAACUAUAACAUGUUUUUUU